CGACUUCAUCUUGAACUUCCUUUGGAUUCUCCUUUUGCACCUCGUCUUGAAGAUUGAUUUUGUUUAAAGCAUCUGCAAGACCAUCACAAAAAUCCUUUCUCGCCAAGCGAGCAUCAUUUUCACAAAAUAGUACAUGAGGAGAUUCCUCAACAGUUUUGGUUCGAUUAUUGAAAACUCUAUAUGCUUUGCUACACGAUGAGUAACCAAGAAAAAUUCCUUCAUCAGAUUUCGCGUCAAAUUUUCCCAAGUUAUCUUUUCCGUUGUUGUGAAUAAAAC
rnacentral:lncRNA from 1 species